rnacentral:lncRNA from 1 species
CUUAUACCGGAUCAUGGUGGCAAGCAGGCGAGGCCUUCUACCUCAAGCUAAAGUCAAUCCAACAACACCAGUCUUGCCAAUGUUCGACGUGGCAGCUUUUUUGGGGGGUGGGAAAUGUAAAUACAAGUAAAAUCAUGCCAGGAAUGUAUCAAGUUUGUUGGCUGAAUGAUAGGACAGACAUCACAGAAGUGAGCUAUGUGGGCACUAAUUAUUUGAGAUGUUACAGUAUAUAAAGAUGCUGUUUGUAUAAAACAGUUUUGCCAUCACCAAACUGUAUCAACAUAUAUAGGAUAAGAUGUUUGCCUUCUUUUUGGUAGAUUGUCAUUUCCUAUCUUCUGCCUUUUGGUAUAUUGAUCGAUAUAAAAUGAGUAACCAAUAAUGUCGUAUUGUGUAGUCACGAAUGAAUUUAAAUUAUUAUAUUCAGAAAUUUUGAGCA